rnacentral:lncRNA from 1 species
CCCUGUCCAUGUAACAACAUUCAAACAAACGGGCAUGCAUAACAAAAUAAAAAUAGGAUAAAAGGGCUAGAGUGUCUGUCUUCAAGACAAGCGCAAGUGAUAUUUCAGUUGUUCUCUCUCUCCUUGCACAAUUUCAAGAACUACCUCUUAGUAUUAUAAUUUAAGGUUAGCUUUGGUAUGACUUCUGCAAAAUGAUUUUUACUUUUGAUUCAAUAAUAGUUAUAAAUAUGUUUGGUUGGAUAAAAACUUUUGAAUUGAAAUCAAAAUCUUGAUUUAAUCAAAAGUUGAAUGUCUUUAACUUUUAACUGAUGCAUUGUAACUUAUACCGCAUUUCUUCUUUAAAGAGAGUUGUUUUUAAGUCAUUUUUAUCAAAUACAUUUCUAAACUAAAUUCAUGUUUUGCCCUGACAUGUUUUAUACUAAAAUAAAAAAAUCAUGCCAGACAGAUCUCAAACUUAACAUCAUGUAUGAAAAGUCUUACGGGUCGGGUGACCAAGCGGGCGGGUCGGGGCCAAAGUCCUUGAAGCAGCCAUAAUACAUCAUCU